AUUAUUAAGAUAUUUUAUGUUUAUUUAAUACAUUUUCAAAUGAUUGAAGUAUAUGAAGUAGAAAACUCAUAUGCUUUAAUGACUUAGUCAAGUUCUCCACAUAUAUCCUUCGCUGGCUGCCUGAGGUCAAACGCUUCCUCUACAAAUUGCGAUCUUUGUGACCUCUGGCAAGUGACGGAGCUGUCUGUGCCCCUCCUGUAGAAUGGGGAGAAUAAUGGAAUCUGGCUGUUGCUAGGAGAUGAGGGUGGAAGAAUCUCUUGUGCCCCAUGCACAUCUCAUCCCACCUCGAAUUUCACCUGCAGAGCUGAGACGAUGGCCAUGAAUGCUGCCACAGUCCCACCUCACGUGUGCACCUCGUAGUCACUACUUUUCCUCAGGACAUUUUCUAAAGCCACAAGAAUGAACACAGCCCACACCUGAAGCAGUCUGGGAGGUUGGGCCUGCAGAGGAGAUACUGGCCCUAUGGAAGGCAGUUGGUGGGCAAAAGCCCGGCUUCCAGACUUUGAGGGGACGCCUGUGGGGCACCGUGAGGCCCAGCCCUGCUGACCUGCUGGUCUUUGGACUGGAGCUACACCAUCACCUCUCAGAGGUCUUCACUCGCUAACUCACCCUGCAGAUCACGGAACUUGUCAGCCUCCAUAACUGCAGGAGGAGCCAAUGCCUUAUAAUAAAAUCUCUCUUAUCUCUUU